GGGGAUCGGCUCAGUAGCGUAUAUUAAGUUGUUGCAGUUAAAAAGCUCGUAGUUGAACUUUGGGUCUGGUUGGCCGGUCCGAUUUUAUGUCGCGCACUGGUUUUCAACCGGAUCUUUCCUUCUGGCUAACCUGUACUCCUUGUGGGUGCAGGCGAACCAGGACUUUUACUUUGAAAAAAUUAGAGUGUUCAAAGCAGGCGAAAGCUCGAAUAUAUUAGCAUGGAAUAACGGAAUAGGACGUUUGGUUCUAUUUUGUUGGUUUCUAGGACCAUCGUAAUGAUUAAUAGGGACGGUCGGGGGCAUCAGUAUUCAAUUGUCAGAGGUGAAAUUCUUGGAUUUAUUGAAGACUAACUACUGCGAAAGCAUUUGCCAAGGACGUUUUCAUUAAUCAAGAACGAAAGUUAGGGGAUCGAAGACGAAAAAAUAUCACGCGUUAA
rnacentral:rRNA from 1 species